CCUAUACCACCCAGUAUGGAAAUUGCUUUACUAUUAAUUGUGACUGGAUACCAAAAGCUAUUGUCAGAAACUUAUCUAGCAUACAAAUAAUAAAUGGAGAGAAAAAUAUUCAUAUGUAUUUCUAUUUAUACCUGGACACAAAUGUCACUUAUCCUAUGAAUAAUGAGGCACUUAUUACGCUUAGCUCACCAGAUUCAAUUCCUGAUAUUAUCAAUGAUGCAUAUUCUGUGGAGCCUGGGAAAACACAUACUUUUUCUGUAUCUAAGAUUAUCUCACACCUGUUACCACCCCCCUAUGCCACUAACUGUACUGACUAUGCUAAGAUGGGAAAGACAUCUUUGCGGCCUGGCUUAUUAACA